ACUCUCUCAGCUCUGCAUGGUUGCACGUUUUCACACGUGUGACUCUCGUAAUGGGGAGAGAGAGAAAGGAUCUCCUCAAGAUCUCAGAUAGGUCUCCUGGUGGCCAGUCUUUCCUUGAGGGGCACAACAGAC